rnacentral:SRP_RNA from 1 species
CGCGCCUGUAAUUCAAGUCACCGGGAGGCUGAGUCUGGAGGAUCGUUUGAGUUCAGGAGCUCUGAGCUGCAGUGGACUGUGUCGAUCGGGUGUCCGCACUAAGUUCGGUAUCGAUAUGCUGAUCCUGGGGGAGCUCGGGACCAGCAGGUCGUCUAAGGAAGGGUGAACCGGCCCAGAUCGGAAACGGAGCAGGUCAAAGUCCUCGUGCCGCUCAGUAGUGGGUUCGCGCCCGUGAAUAGACGUUGUAGUUCAG